AUUGAACGCUGGCGGCAUGCUUUACACAUGCAAGUCGAACGGUAACAGGCCGCAAGGUGCUGACGAGUGGCGAACGGGGGAGUAAUGCAUCGGAACGUGCCCAGUAGUGGGGGAUAACGCAGCGAAAGCUGUGCUAAUACCGCAUACGAUCUAUGGAUUAAAGCGGGGGACCGUAAGGCCUCGCGCGAUUGGAGCGGCCGAUGUCAGCUUAGGUAGUUGGUGGGGUAAAGGCCUACCAAGCCGACGAUCUGUAGCUGGUCUGAGAGGACGACCAGCCACACUGGGACUGAGACACGGCCCAGACUCCUACGGGAGGCAGCAGUGGGGAAUUUUGGACAAUGGGCGCAAGCCUGAUCCAGCAAUGCCGCGUGCAGGAAGAAGGCCUUCGGGUUGUAAACUGCUUUUGUACGGAACGAAACGGUCUGGGUUAAUACCCUGGGCUAAUGACGGUACCUGAAGAAUAAGCACCGGCUAACUACGUGCCAGCAGCCGCCGUAACAC
rnacentral:rRNA from 1 species